rnacentral:rRNA from 1 species
UACGUAGGGGGCGAGCGUUGUCCGGAAUCAUUGGGCGUAAAGAGCGUGUAGGCGGCUUGGAAAGUCUUACGUGAAAGCCUGCGGCUCAACCGCAGAAGUGCGUAGGAAACUUCCUCGCUAGAGUCCGGAAGAGGAGAGCGGAAUUCCUGGUGUAGCGGUGGAAUGCGCAGAUAUCAGGAGGGACACCCGUGGCGAAGGCGGCUCUCUGGGACGGUACUGACGCUGAGACGCGAAAGCGUGGGGAGCGAACAGG